UGGCAAGAGGGCGCGCGAGAGAAGACAGCCCUCCAACCUCUGCCGUCUGUGGCGUCACUCUGCUCUGCUCACUCCAUAACGGUGCGCACUCUGCACCUCCUCUGCCCUCCCCGGGCUCAUCCACUCCUCUCUGCGCGCGCGCGUGUGGGUGCCAGCGUUCACGUGUGUGCCCGCUCCUCGGUUCUCGCAACACCCCGACAUCAGAGGAGGGGGGUGGGACUAUCCUGCAAGCGCCCACAUAGGAACGCAGACGAUGCUUCGCUUCACCAGGCGGCUUGGCGAGCAUGUCGCGAUGUCCGCUGGCGUGGGCUCCCCAGUGUACAAGAAGACGUCCAAUUUCUUUUGGCACCGGCGGGUGCACAACUUCCGCCGCCGCGGAUCUUUCGGGAAGCUCGCGACGCUGGCCGGGUACGGGGCUGCCAGCGCUGGCGUGUACGUGGUCACCUGCCUGGUGGUGCGCACGCUUCACCAGCCCACUGUAGACGCGCUCUUCGCACCCGGCAGGGACUACACGCUGGAGGACUGGAAGGAUGUCGAGCCGACGCUGCAGCCCGGGGACAUCAUUCUCAUGCGCGGCACCGGACCUGUGAGCUGGUGCAUCACGACGCUGCAGUUCAUCUUGUCCUUCUUCAAGCCUGCGGCGCUCCGCUACUCUCACGUGGCGGUGGUGGUGGCACCCGCGGUGAUCGAGCACGUUGACGACGACACGAGCGAGACUGGCGUGCCCGCCGCGACCGGGCCUACCGAGGCGAGGGGAGCGGCGUCGCCCUUGAAGGCGUCGGCCUUAUCCACUCCUCCGUACCGGGUGCGCAACCUCAGCGAGGUCUUCGAGAGAGGCACAGAGGGCGCUGAGUCGGCUGCACCGGCACAUGGCUCCCGUGUGCCAGCGUCGCCGACUCGUUGGGUUCGCGAGCAGCUUCGUGCCGAGGAGGCAGCGCUGCAGAGGCGCCCUGUGAUUCGCCGCGGUGCCAUCAUCCUCGAGGCGAUGGACAACAAGGACUACGACGUGGUGGACGUGAAGGGGAACGUGACACACGACACGGUGCAGCUGGUUGAGGCAUCGCGGCGGCUGCUGUCGGUGACGCCGUCGGGUGUGCCGGCCUACCACUACUUUGCCGUUCGCAGGCUGCGCAACUACGACCACACGCCGGAGCGGGAGAGGCGGCUGGCGCGCUUCUGCGAGGAGAGCGAAGGGCGACGCAUGGACUCAAGCCUGCUGUACCCGCUGGCCUUUCUAUGGCCGCGGCUCCACACCCAGGCGCACCCGCUGCGGCAGCUAAUCACGGGCGAGGUUUCCUGCAGCGAGCUGAUUGUGGAGCUGUACCAGGAGCUCGGGGUGCUAAGGCGACGGUGGCGGUGGGUGCCGCUGGAGCCUGGCACCACUGCCCCCGCGCCGCCUCCCUCGAGUGGCGCCACUCGACAAGUGAACGCGAGGAGAGACGAGCAGCACAGCGCCAACAACGGUGAGAACAACGGGAGGGAUGUGGUGACGCCGCCUCCGCCGCCGACUGCGGCGGACAUGAAGGACGAUCGCCGAAGUCGCAGCUUACACGUGUACGACUACGCCUACGGUCGACUCGACGCGCGUGCCCGCCGGCCCGUCAUCACGCGCGAUCGCCCGCUGCUUCCGGACACUUCCGUUGUGGAGAACAGCGAGGCGAUAGCCGCCGCUGACGUACGGCUUCGCUCUAGCAGGGCUCGACUUAAGCCCUCGUGGGAGCAUAUCGAUCGCAUGGAAAAUAUUAAAAACUUUUACGGGCGCACCCUCACUGGCGAUGCCGAGGAGCUCGCCCGUCAGCAGAUGAAGCAGCGGUCGGAGGCGGCGUACCACGUUGAUGCGGCGGUGCCACCGCUUGUACUGCGGGCUGGUGACACGGCCAGGGGCGUCGAUGGCCGCGACUAUCAGCUGCAGUGGUACUACGAGCACAGCAGCGUGGCCACGUGCCCGUACCAUUUCACAGAAGGCGCGGGGGAGUCGGUGCUCGACUUCGCCGCUAAUACGAGUCUUGGCCGUGAGUUGCACAUGCGGAUUGUGCGCGAGGAGGACGAGCUCUCGCGUGCAAUGGAAGAGGAUUAGCCGGCACAGCCAUCUCACACGCGCAUGCGAGCUGGCGCGUGAACGGUCACGACGACACUAACCCGAACGCACAGAG
rnacentral:misc_RNA from 1 species